GGGGGUGUAGCUCAGGGGAAGAGCACUUGCCUACCAUGUGUGAAACCAUGGGUUCAAUCCCCAGCACCACAA
rnacentral:tRNA from 1 species